rnacentral:rRNA from 1 species
GAUUGAACGCUGGCGGCAGGCCUAACACAUGCAAGUCGAGCGGUAGCACAGAGAGCUUGCUCUCGGGUGACGAGCGGCGGACGGGUGAGUAAUGUCUGGGAAACUGCCUGAUGGAGGGGGAUAACUACUGGAAACGGUAGCUAAUACCGCAUAACGUCGCAAGACCAAAGUGGGGGACCUUCGGGCCUCAUGCCAUCAGAUGUGCCCAGAUGGGAUUAGCUAGUAGGUGGGGUAACGGCUCACCUAGGCGACGAUCCCUAGCUGGUCUGAGAGGAUGACCAGCCACACUGGAACUGAGACACGGUCCAGACUCCUACGGGAGGCAGCAGUGGGGAAUAUUGCACAAUGGGCGCAAGCCUGAUGCAGCCAUGCCGCGUGUGUGAAGAAGGCCUUCGGGUUGUAAAGCACUUUCAGCGGGGAGGAAGGCGUUAAGGUUAAUAACCUUGGCGAUUGACGUUACCCGCAGAAGAAGCACCGGCUAACUCCGUGCCAGCAGCCGCGGUAAUACGGAGGGUGCAAGCGUUAAUCGGAAUUACUGGGCGUAAAGCGCACGCAGGCGGUCUGUCAAGUCGGAUGUGAAAUCCCCGGGCUCAACCUGGGAACUGCAUUCGAAACUGGCAGGCUAGAGUCUUGUAGAGGGGGGUAGAAUUCCAGGUGUAGCGGUGAAAUGCGUAGAGAUCUGGAGGAAUACCGGUGGCGAAGGCGGCCCCCUGGACAAAGACUGACGCUCAGGUGCGAAAGCGUGGGGAGCAAACAGGAUUAGAUACCCUGGUAGUCCACGCCGUAAACGAUGUCGAUUUGGAGGUUGUGCCCUUGAGGCGUGGCUUCCGGAGCUAACGCGUUAAAUCGACCGCCUGGGGAGUACGGCCGCAAGGUUAAAACUCAAAUGAAUUGACGGGGGCCCGCACAAGCGGUGGAGCAUGUGGUUUAAUUCGAUGCAACGCGAAGAACCUUACCUGGUCUUGACAUCCACAGAACUUUCCAGAGAUGGAUUGGUGCCUUCGGGAACUGUGAGACAGGUGCUGCAUGGCUGUCGUCAGCUCGUGUUGUGAAAUGUUGGGUUAAGUCCCGCAACGAGCGCAACCCUUAUCCUUUGUUGCCAGCGGUUCGGCCGGGAACUCAAAGGAGACUGCCAGUGAUAAACUGGAGGAAGGUGGGGAUGACGCCAAGUCAUCAUGGCCCUUACGACCAGGGCUACACACGUGCUACAAUGGCAUAUACAAAGAGAAGCGACCUCGCGAGAGCAAGCGGACCUCAUAAAGUAUGUCGUAGUCCGGAUUGGAGUCUGCAACUCGACUCCAUGAAGUCGGAAUCGCUAGUAAUCGUAGAUCAGAAUGCUACGGUGAAUACGUUCCCGGGCCUUGUACACACCGCCCGUCACACCAUGGGAGUGGGUUGCAAAAGAAGUAGGUAGCUUAACCUUCGGGAGGGCGCUUACCACUUUGUGAUUCAUGACUGGGGUGAAGUCGUAACAAGG